rnacentral:rRNA from 1 species
GGUGCUUAAGAUCCACCUAGAGGAGCCUGUUCUAGAACCGAUAACCCCCGUUCAACCUCACCCCCUCUUGUCCAACCCGCCUAUAUACCGCCGUCGUCAGCUUACCCUGUGAAGGCCUAAUAGUAAGCAAGAUUAGUACAACCCAAAACGUCAGGUCGAGGUGUAGCGAAUGAGGAGGGAAGAAAUGGGCUACAUUCGCUAAUACAGCGAACACGAACAAUGUGCUGAAACAAACAUUUAAAGGAGGAUUUAGCAGUAAGAGGGAAGCAGAGCGUCCCACUGAAACUGGCCCUAAAGCGCGCACACACCGCCCGUCACUCUCCCCAAGCUUUAAUGUUUCACAUACAUAAACAAAAAUAACUGCAAAGGGGAGGCAAGUCGUAACAUGGUAAGCGUACCGGAAGGUGCGCUUGGAAAAAC